AUAAUACCCAUAUAAAAUAAACAAUUAAUUAACAACUAAUGUAUAAUUAACUAGACGAAAAGUAAAACUAAUCAAAUUAGUUUAAUUUUUUUAAGUAAAAAUUAAACUAAUUAUCAAUAAAUUAACAAUACCCCAAUUAAUUAAUUAAAUAAGAAUACCAAGUAAAAUAAUCAAUUUAACAAUACCCAUAAAAUUUAAACAAUUAAUUAACAAGAAUAAAAGUAAAAUAAUUAAAUUAACAACAAA
rnacentral:misc_RNA from 1 species